UAAGAGAUCCAGGUCUGUGUUCGGAGGAAAUGUUGGCCGAACAACGAGACUCGGAGGUCCAUUCAUCUCCCCGAGGCCGAAUUCAGUUCCAUUACGCUGACUGUUCCUCAUGAUGGAUACACUCGCUCGCUCUGCCAAAAACAUCAUGGCGCUGGCCAGGUGUCUGACUCGCUCUCUUACAUCACGCUGGAUAAAACCCAGGCUAACUAGCCAGAAUUCUGACGUUCAGGAACGCUAACUCACAUUUCUCUCAGAUUCCCUCUAAAACCACAGGGCAAUUUUUUUUUACAACCAGAAGCUGGAAGGUGAAAAAUAGGUUCAUCCAAACAGCCCUGAAAGGUUAGUCCUCCAUUACUGAGUGUGAGUGUGUAUGAGUGUGUGUCAGAGAGA